AGAGUUUGAUCCUGGCUCAGAUUGAACGCUGGCGGCAUGCCUUACGCAUGCAAGUCGAACGGUAACAGGUUAAGCUGACGAGUGGCGAACGGGUGAGUAAUGUAUCGGAACGUGCCCAGUCGUGGGGGAUAACUACUCGAAAGAGUGGCUAAUACCGCAUGAGACCUGAGGGUGAAAGCGGGGGAUCGCAAGACCUCGCGCGGUUGGAGCGGCCGAUAUCAGAUUAGCUAGUUGGCGGGGUAAAAGCCCACCAAGGCGACGAUCUGUAGCUGGUCUGAGAGGACGACCAGCCACACUGGGACUGAGACACGGCCCAGACUCCUACGGGAGGCAGCAGUGGGGAAUUUUGGACAAUGGACGAAAGUCUGAUCCAGCCAUGCCGCGUGCGGGAAGAAGGCCUUCGGGUUGUAAACCGCUUUUGUCAGGGAAGAAACGACGUCCUCUAAUACAGGGUGUUAAUGACGGUACCUGAAGAAUAAGCACCGGCUAACUACGUGCCAGCAGCCGCGGUAAUACGUAGGGUGCAAGCGUUAAUCGGAAUUACUGGGCGUAAAGCGUGCGCAGGCGGUUAUGCAAGACAGAUGUGAAAUCCCCGGGCUCAACCUGGGAACUGCAUUUGUGACUGCAUGGCUAGAGUACGGUAGAGGGGGAUGGAAUUCCGCGUGUAGCAGUGAAAUGCGUAGAUAUGCGGAGGAACACCGAUGGCGAAGGCAAUCCCCUGGACCUGUACUGACGCUCAUGCACGAAAGCGUGGGGAGCAAACAGGAUUAGAUACCCUGGUAGUCCACGCCCUAAACGAUGUCAACUGGUUGUUGGGAGGGUUUCUUCUCAGUAACGUAGCUAACGCGUGAAGUUGACCGCCUGGGGAGUACGGCCGCAAGGUUGAAACUCAAAGAAAUUGACGGGGACCCGCACAAGCGGUGGAUGAUGUGGUUUAAUUCGAUGCAACGCGAAAAACCUUACCUACCCUUGACAUGUCUGGAAUCCUGAAGAGAUUUGGGAGUGCUCGAAAGAGAGCCAGAACACAGGUGCUGCAUGGCCGUCGUCAGCUCGUGUCGUGAGAUGUUGGGUUAAGUCCCGCAACGAGCGCAACCCUUGUCAUUAGUUGCUACGAAAGGGCACUCUAAUGAGACUGCCGGUGACAAACCGGAGGAAGGUGGGGAUGACGUCAGGUCAUCAUGGCCCUUAUGGGUAGGGCUACACACGUCAUACAAUGGCCGGUACAGAGGGCUGCCAACCCGCGAGGGGGAGCCAAUCCCAGAAAACCGGUCGUAGUCCGGAUCGUAGUCUGCAACUCGACUGCGUGAAGUCGGAAUCGCUAGUAAUCGCGGAUCAGCUUGCCGCGGUGAAUACGUUCCCGGGUCUUGUACACACCGCCCGUCACACCAUGGGAGCGGGUUCUGCCAGAAGUAGUUAGCCUAACCGCAAGGGGGGCGAUUACCACGGCAGGGUUCGUGACUGGGGUGAAGUCGUAACAAGGUA
rnacentral:rRNA from 1 species